UGGGGAAUUUUGGACAAUGGGGGAAACCCUGAUCCAGCCAUCCCGCGUGUGCGAUGAAGGCCUUCGGGUUGUAAAGCACUUUUGGCAGGAAAGAAACGUCGCGGGUUAAUACCCCGCGAAACUGACGGUACCUGCAGAAUAAGCACCGGCUAACUACGUGCCAGCAGCCGCGGUAAUACGUAGGGUGCAAGCGUUAAUCGGAAUUACUGGGCGUAAAGCGUGCGCAGGCGGUUCGGAAAGAAAGAUGUGAAAUCCCAGAGCUUAACUUUGGAACUGCAUUUUUAACUACCGGGCUAGAGUGUGUCAGAGGGAGGUGGAAUUCCGCGUGUAGCAGUGAAAUGCGUAGAUAUGCGGAGGAACACCGAUGGCGAAGGCAGCCUCCUGGGAUAACACUGACGCUCAUGCACGAAAGCGUGGGGAGCAAACAGGAUUAGAUACCCUGGUAGUCCACGCCCUAAACGAUGUCAACUAGCUGUUGGGGGCCUUCGGGCCUUGGUAGCGCAGCUAACGCGUGAAGUUGACCGCCUGGGGGAGUACGGUCGCAAGAUUAAAAACUCAAAGGAAUUGACGGGGGUCAUAGCUG
rnacentral:rRNA from 1 species